rnacentral:rRNA from 1 species
CUUUGACCUCGGAUCAGGUAGGGAUACCCGCUGAACUUAAGCAUAUCAA